rnacentral:lncRNA from 1 species
UGAAUAAACUAGUUAAAUACAACUGAUUAAAACUGAAUACAAGAGAAUACGCAUAACUUUUUAAUAUAUCUAAAAUAUAUAAAUGAAUGCUGAUGAAUACAUUUGAAUACAGCUGAAAUAUACAUUCUAAUAUAAUUGAAUACAAAUAGGCGAUUUGGAUGAUCUAGAGAGAGAAACACCCUUAUGGCUUCGCCGGCGGUGGCCGGUCUCCAUUGAUUUCCCCAAGUCGAAUAGGGCAUUCACUCGGCAAAAGACUCACCCUUCAAAAACUUUCUCAGAAGUAGAUCAACUCUUCAUCAGUAGAGUAAAAUCGAACACUAGAAAACCGUGAUACCAUCGACAUGCCGGUCUUUGAUAAUUGCUAUUGUAAAUAAAGCAAUUAAAACCAGAAGGAGGCAAGAAUCGCAAGAAAAAACAACCCUUCUAUGAUCGAUGAUCUGCAAGUGUUCUCUCAAUGAGGCAGAGAUUGACUAUGCUGUGAAAAUAUAGAGACGACAAAGAAUUGGAAUAAAGUGGGUAUGUGGGAGAAGAGAGUAAAGUAUAUGCAAAUGGGAGAGAGAACAUGUUUAGAGGAGUUCUACAUUGUUUAUGUGAGAGAAAAUACUAAAAAGGAGAGAGAAAAAUAUUAUUUAACAUAUAUGAUGC